CACCCAUACAGUGACACAUGUACUCCAA
rnacentral:piRNA from 1 species